GUUCACUGAUAAUAUAGAACUAGGAACAGCAUUGCUACAAGACUAUGACAAGCAUCUUGUCACUAAUAUACCAAAGAUUUUAUCUUUACAUGGAAAACAGG